rnacentral:rRNA from 1 species
CCUACGGGGUGCAGCAGUGGGGAAUAUUGGGCAAUGGGCGCAAGCCUGACCCAGCAACGCCGCGUGAAGGAAGAAGGCUUUCGGGUUGUAACCUUCUUUUGUCAGGGACGAAGCAAGUGACGGUACCUGACGAAUAAGCCACGGCUAACUACGUGCCAGCAGACGCGGUAAUACGUAGGUGGCAAGCGUUCUCCGGAUUUAUUGGGUGUAAAGGGCGUGUAGGCGGGAAUGCAAGUCAGAUGUGAAAACUAUGGGCUCAACCCAUAGCCUGCAUUUGAAACUGUAUUUCUUGAGUGCUGGAGCGGUAAUCGGAAUUCCGUGUGUAGCGGUGAAAUGCGUAGAUAUACGGAGGAACACCAGUGGCGAAGGCGGAUUGCUGGACAGUAACUGACGCUGAGGCGCGAAAGCGUGGGGAGCAAACAGGAUUAGAUACCCGGGUAGUC